GUACUGCUGAAGAGUCCCAAGCUGGGCUGACGAAACGGACGUUCAGUAC
rnacentral:hammerhead_ribozyme from 1 species